AACAUCCGCCGGAAGAACGGGAUUCAUUGAUGUUGAAUUUUAUGGGUAUUUUACUCGUUGUUU
rnacentral:tRNA from 1 species